UCCGCAAUGGACGAAAGUCUGACGGAGCAACGCCGCGUGAGUGAUGAAGGCUUUCGGGUCGUAAAACUCUGUUGUUAGGGAAGAACAAGUGCUAGUUGAAUAAGCUGGCACCUUGACGGUACCUAACCAGAAAGCCACGGCUAACUACGUGCCAGCAGCCGCGGUAAUACGUAGGUGGCAAGCGUUAUCCGGAAUUAUUGGGCGUAAAGCGCGCGCAGGUGGUUUCUUAAGUCUGAUGUGAAAGCCCACGGCUCAACCGUGGAGGGUCAUUGGAAACUGGGAGACUUGAGUGCAGAAGAGGAAAGUGGAAUUCCAUGUGUAGCGGUGAAAUGCGUAGAGAUAUGGAGGAACACCAGUGGCGAAGGCGACUUUCUGGUCUGUAACUGACACUGAGGCGCGAAAGCGUGGGGAGCAAACAGGAUUAGAUACCCUGGUAGUCCACGCCGUAAACGAUGAGUGCUAAGUGUUAGAGGGUUUCCGCCCUUUAGUGCUGAAGUUAACGCAUUAAGCACUCCGCCUGGGGAGUACGGCCGCAAGGCUGAAA
rnacentral:rRNA from 1 species